rnacentral:rRNA from 1 species
AACGAACGCUGGCAGCGUGGAUUAGGCAUGCAAGUCGAACGGGAAUUACUUUAGAAGCUUGCUUGAGUAUGAGAGUGGCGGAAGGGCGAGGACAAUAUGGAUAAUUUGCCCGUAAGCUGGGGAUAACUCAGGGAAACCUGAGCUAAAACCGAAUGUGGUACGCUAUGACAUCAUAGCGUCACUAAAGGAGGGGACUCGUUAUGAGCCUUCUGCUUAUGGAUAAGUCCGUAGAUCAUCAGCUAGUUGGUGGGGUAAUGGCUCACCAAGGCAUUGACGAUUAGCUGGUCUGAGAGGACGGCCAGCCGCACUGGGACUGAGAACUGCCCAGACUCCUACGGGAGGCCGCAGUCGAGGAUCAUUCGCAAUGGACGAAAGUCUGACGAUGCGACGCUGCGUGGAGGAUGACGGCCUUCGGGUUGUAAACUCCUGUCAUGAGGGACAAAGAGACCUGCGAUGAUAUCAAGGGAAUAAGAUGGUACCUCAAGAGGAAGAGACGGCUAACUCUGUGCCAGCAGCCGCGGUAAUACAGAGGUCUCAAGCGUUGUUCGGAUUUACUGGGCGUAAAGGGCGCGAGGCGGCUAGGUGUGUCAGAUGUGAAAGCUCCGGGCUCAACCCGGAAAGUGCGUUUGAAACUGCUUAGCUAGAGUAUGGAAGGGGAGUGCGGAAUACAAGGUGUAGCGGUGAAAUGCGUUGAUAUCUUGUAGAACACCGGUGGCGAAGGCGGCACUCUGGGACAUUACUGACGCUGAGAGCGCGAAAGCAGAGGGAGCAAACAGGAUUAGAUACCCUGGUAGUCUCUGCCCUAAACGGUGUACACUCGUGGUUGGGGGAUUUCACCCCUCCAGUCACUUAGCAAACGCGUUAAGUGUACCGCUGGGGAGUACGGUCGCAAGACUAAAACUCAAAGAAAUUGACGGGGGCCCGCACAAGCGGAGGAGCAUGUGGCUUAAUUCGAUGCAACGCGAAGAACCUUACCCAGGUUUGACAUGAUCUGCACCGUCCAUGAAAGUAUUCCUUCGAGGGUAUCUCAGGUGCUGCAUGGCUGUCGUCAGUUCGUGCCGUGAGGUGUUUGGUUAAAUCCAGCAACGAACGCAACCCCUAUGAGAUGUUGCCAACGGGUAAUGCCGGGAACUCGUCUCAGACUGCCCAUUUACAUGGGAGGAAGGUGGGGAUGACGUCAAGUCAGUAUGGCCCUUACAUCUGGGGCUGCACACGUGCUACAAUGGUCAGUACAGAAGGUUGCAAUACCGUGAGGUGGAGCUAAUCCCCAAAACUGGCCUCAGUUCAGAUUGUAGUCUGCAACUCGACUACAUGAAGCCGGAUUCGCUAGUAACGGCGUAUCAGCUACGACGCCGUGAAUACGUUCCCGGGCCUUGUACACACCGCCCGUCACAUCAUGAAAGGUGUCUGCACCCAACGAUGGUGGCCUAACUCGCAAGAGAGGGAGCCAUUAAAGGUGUGG